CAGCAGCCACGGGAAUACGGAGGGUGCAAGCGUUAAUCGGAAUUACUGGGCGUAAAGCGCACGCAGGCGGUCUGACAAGUCAGAUGUGAAAUCCCCGGGCUUAACCUGGGAACUGCAUUUGAAACUGUCAGGCUGGAGUCUUGUAGAGGGGGGUGGAAUUCCAGGUGUAGCGGUGAAAUGCGUAGAGAUCUGGAGGAAUACCGGUGGCGAAGGCGGCCCCCUGGACAAAGACUGACGCUCAGGUGCGAAAGCGUGGGGAGCAAACAGGAUUAAAUACCCGUGUAGUCCCUGUCUCUUAUAC
rnacentral:rRNA from 1 species